AACCUAGCACACCUGCGGUGUGUACCUGCGGAAGGAUCAUUAUCGAGUUGCAAAACUCCAACCCUUUGUGAACAUACCUCAGUCGUUGCUUCGGCGGUGGACGGCCUGUUUUUCGGAACGGCCGGAAGCCGCCGGAGGUUCCAAACUCGUAUUUUUUAGUGUAUCUCUGAGCCUGAAAACAAAUAAUCAAAACUUUUAACAAUGGAUCU
rnacentral:misc_RNA from 1 species